UACGUAGGGUGCGGAGCGUUGUCCGGAAUUAUUGGGCGUAAAGGGCUCGUAAGGGCGGUCUGUUGCGUCGGGAGUGAAACUCAAGGGCUUAACCCGUGAGCCUCGCUUCCGAUACGGGCAGACUAGAGGUAUGCAGGGGAGAAUGGAAGUUCCUGGUUGAGCGGUGAAAUGCGCAGAUAUCAGGAGGAACACCGGUGGCGAAGGCGGGUCUCUGGGCCGAAACUGACGCUGAGGAGCGAAAGCGUGGGGAGCAAACAGG
rnacentral:rRNA from 1 species